CAUUGUGUUGGAAACCAUCGCAUGGAAGAUUGUCGUUGGCUAUCGGGAGCAUGUGUUUUAUGUGGGCAGCAUGGUCACUUGAGAGCAAAUUGUCCACGCUUUAGAAAGCCAUUCACUCAGCCUAAUGCGCGCGAGACAGGAAAUUCUAUGAAUCGAAGACCCUUUCCCAAUAAGAAUCAAAAAGUGGGACAGACUUCAGGAGGCCAAGCUAGAGUGUUUUCUACAAUGAAUGUCGAGCAAGCGCGUGCGUCUAACGCGGUGGUCUCAGAGAAGGAUCCAAAUCAAGUAACUAAAGCUACUGGACAGUGAAGACUUGGAUAUCGAUAUACUUUUGUGUAUUUCAGAUAGAUGACAUGCGGCGGCUGGUCACGACUCGGUUCGGGGCGUGACA